rnacentral:lncRNA from 1 species
GGAGUUCUAAAGUCCAAAAGCAGACGGAGCUGUUGUAAAAGGAAGAAGUACUUGCCAGGAGGAUAACUGGUUUUAACUGCUGAAACACAUCUGCUCUGUUCUUGCCUAUCAAACUCCAUAUUUGCGUGGCCAGAGUGUGUGUUGAGGGAGAUAUUGGGGGAACUCCUUAUGUCCUGAUGCAAAGAGGAAUACUACUUCUUUUCAAGUCUGCAUUGAACAGAACUGAUUGGAAGAAUAAUAGGAAAAGCCCCACAGAUUUCAUCCAAAUAGGAAGAACAUUUGUCAUCCUGCUAGAAGCAGAAGUGGUACUGUAAUGCAUGCUAUGGUAUCUGCACCCUUCUGGCAGGUUGCUUGCUGUUUGGAAAUCUGGAUCCAAGUGAGUCUUCUGUUGAGGGUCUCCAACAGGCUGUGAGGAAUGCCUUCAAAUUUGCAUGCGUAGUAGACAAGCCACUCCUCUUAAGUUGGAACCUAUUUCUCCCAUGAAAUUUCCUAAAAGAGUUGAAACUAGGUUUGAAAUAGAAUUAAAACUGUACUGGAAAGGCAGAGUAAAACUCAUUAGGCUGUGUGUUGGAAAAUGAUUGUUUUAGCACUAUAUUGUACUCUAAUGGCUUGAAAAGUCAGACAUUAGAAAAAAGGACAGUAGGAAGGAUCCCCUGAGAAACAGCACAUGCCUCACACUCCAGCUACUUACUGAUGGAAAUUAGCACUCUGUCAACUUGGAGUGUUAGCUGGAUAUGUGGUGUUAAAUGCUACAAUUAGUAUGCGAUCAAUGAGAUCGGUAACAUAAUUUUAAAAAAUGGCCGUUUCACUCACUGUGCAUCAAAAUACACUAAAACUGAUCUUUUGUGAAUAAAAUUUAUGUUACCAAUUAUGGCAAAGCCAUGUAAUAGUAUAGAUUAAUCUUCCAGUCAUCAUCUGUGUCCUCCCAAACACUCCUUUAAGCACCUGUUAGGGAGAUUUUGCUACUCUUGUUGCUGGUUUACCCUGACCAUGUCAUGUAGGUAGACAGGGAGGAGGAUGUUUAAUUGAAGACACCUUUUAUUUCACAAUUUUAGC